AGCGUACACGGUGGAUGCCCUGGCAGUCAGAGGCGAUGAAGGACGUGCUAAUCUGCGAUAAGCGUCGGUAAGGUGAUAUGAACCGUUAUAACCGGCGAUUUCCGAAUGGGGAAACCCAGUGUGAUUCGUCACACUAUCAUUAACUGAAUCCAUAGGUUAAUGAGGCGAACCGGGGGAACUGAAACAUCUAAGUACCCCGAGGAAAAGAAAUCAACCGAGAUUCCCCCAGUAGCGGCGAGCGAACGGGGAGCAGCCCAGAGCCUGAAUCAGUGUGUGUGUUAGUGGAAGCGUCUGGAAAGGCGCGCGAUACAGGGUGACAGCCCCGUACACAAAAAUGCACAUGCUGUGAGCUCGAUGAGUAGGGCGGGACACGUGGUAUCCUGUCUGAAUAUGGGGGGACCAUCCUCCAAGGCUAAAUACUCCUGACUGACCGAUAGUGAACCAGUACCGUGAGGGAAAGGCGAAAAGAACCCCGGCGAGGGGAGUGAAAAAGAACCUGAAACCGUGUACGUACAAGCAGUGGGAGCCUCUUUAUGGGGUGACUGCGUACCUUUUGUAUAAUGGGUCAGCGACUUAUAUUCUGUAGCAAGGUUAACCGAAUAGGGGAGCCGAAGGGAAACCGAGUCUUAACUGGGCGUUAAGUUGCAGGGUAUAGACCCGAAACCCGGUGAUCUAGCCAUGGGCAGGUUGAAGGUUGGGUAACACUAACUGGAGGACCGAACCGACUAAUGUUGAAAAAUUAGCGGAUGACUUGUGGCUGGGGGUGAAAGGCCAAUCAAACCGGGAGAUAGCUGGUUCUCCCCGAAAGCUAUUUAGGUAGCGCCUCGUGAAUUCAUCUCCGGGGGUAGAGCACUGUUUCGGCAAGGGGGUCAUCCCGACUUACCAACCCGAUGCAAACUGCGAAUACCGGAGAAUGUUAUCACGGGAGACACACGGCGGGUGCUAACGUCCGUCGUGAAGAGGGAAACAACCCAGACCGCCAGCUAAGGUCCCAAAGUCAUGGUUAAGUGGGAAACGAUGUGGGAAGGCCCAGACAGCCAGGAUGUUGGCUUAGAAGCAGCCAUCAUUUAAAGAAAGCGUAAUAGCUCACUGGUCGAGUCGGCCUGCGCGGAAGAUGUAACGGGGCUAAACCAUGCACCGAAGCUGCGGCAGCGACACUAUGUGUUGUUGGGUAGGGGAGCGUUCUGUAAGCCUGCGAAGGUGUACUGUGAGGUAUGCUGGAGGUAUCAGAAGUGCGAAUGCUGACAUAAGUAACGAUAAAGCGGGUGAAAAGCCCGCUCGCCGGAAGACCAAGGGUUCCUGUCCAACGUUAAUCGGGGCAGGGUGAGUCGACCCCUAAGGCGAGGCCGAAAGGCGUAGUCGAUGGGAAACAGGUUAAUAUUCCUGUACUUGGUGUUACUGCGAAGGGGGGACGGAGAAGGCUAUGUUGGCCGGGCGACGGUUGUCCCGGUUUAAGCGUGUAGGCUGGUUUUCCAGGCAAAUCCGGAAAAUCAAGGCUGAGGCGUGAUGACGAGGCACUACGGUGCUGAAGCAACAAAUGCCCUGCUUCCAGGAAAAGCCUCUAAGCAUCAGGUAACAUCAAAUCGUACCCCAAACCGACACAGGUGGUCAGGUAGAGAAUACCAAGGCGCUUGAGAGAACUCGGGUGAAGGAACUAGGCAAAAUGGUGCCGUAACUUCGGGAGAAGGCACGCUGAUACGUAGGUGAAGUCCCUUGCGGAUGGAGCUGAAAUCAGUCGAAGAUACCAGCUGGCUGCAACUGUUUAUUAAAAACACAGCACUGUGCAAACACGAAAGUGGACGUAUACGGUGUGACGCCUGCCCGGUGCCGGAAGGUUAAUUGAUGGGGUUAGCGGUAACGCGAAGCUCUUGAUCGAAGCCCCGGUAAACGGCGGCCGUAACUAUAACGGUCCUAAGGUAGCGAAAUUCCUUGUCGGGUAAGUUCCGACCUGCACGAAUGGCGUAAUGAUGGCCAGGCUGUCUCCACCCGAGACUCAGUGAAAUUGAACUCGCUGUGAAGAUGCAGUGUACCCGCGGCAAGACGGAAAGACCCCGUGAACCUUUACUAUAGCUUGACACUGAACAUUGAGCCUUGAUGUGUAGGAUAGGUGGGAGGCUUUGAAGUGUGGACGCCAGUCUGCAUGGAGCCGACCUUGAAAUACCACCCUUUAAUGUUUGAUGUUCUAACGUUGGCCCCUAAUCGGGGUUGCGGACAGUGUCUGGUGGGUAGUUUGACUGGGGCGGUCUCCUCCUAAAGAGUAACGGAGGAGCACGAAGGUUGGCUAAUCCUGGUCGGACAUCAGGAGGUUAGUGCAAUGGCAUAAGCCAGCUUGACUGCGAGCGUGACGGCGCGAGCAGGUGCGAAAGCAGGUCAUAGUGAUCCGGUGGUUCUGAAUGGAAGGGCCAUCGCUCAACGGAUAAAAGGUACUCCGGGGAUAACAGGCUGAUACCGCCCAAGAGUUCAUAUCGACGGCGGUGUUUGGCACCUCGAUGUCGGCUCAUCACAUCCUGGGGCUGAAGUAGGUCCCAAGGGUAUGGCUGUUCGCCAUUUAAAGUGGUACGCGAGCUGGGUUUAGAACGUCGUGAGACAGUUCGGUCCCUAUCUGCCGUGGGCGCUGGAGAACUGAGGGGGGCUGCUCCUAGUACGAGAGGACCGGAGUGGACGCAUCACUGGUGUUCGGGUUGUCAUGCCAAUGGCACUGCCCGGUAGCUAAAUGCGGAAGAGAUAAGUGCUGAAAGCAUCUAAGCACGAAACUUGCCCCGAGAUGAGUUCU
rnacentral:rRNA from 2 species